rnacentral:rRNA from 1 species
UACGUAGGCAGCAAACGUUGUUCGGAAUUACUGGGCGUAAAGAGUGUGUAGGCGGUUCUGUAAGUUUGGUGUGAAAUCUCCCGGCUUAACUGGGAGGGUGCGCCGAAAACUGCAAGGCUUGAGUGCUGGAGAGGAUAGCGGAAUUCCUGGUGUAGCGGUGAAAUGCGUAGAUAUCUGGAGGAACACCGGUGGCGAAGGCGGCAUCCUGGACCGACACUGACACUGAGGAGCGAAAGCCCGGGGAGCAAACGGG